CGCUGCCCAUGCGCCGCGAGGCGGGGGCCGGGCCGGGGCUGCCGCGCCUCUCCCGACACCGCCCAGCGCCCGCCCCGAGCGCCCCCGGCAAGGAGAGAGGAUGGCGGAGAGUGAGGCCGAAACCCCCAGCACGCCCGGGGAGUUCGAGAGCAAGUACUUCGAAUACAAUGGGGUGCGGCUGCCGCCCUUCUGCCGCGGGAAGAUGGAGGAGAUCGCCAAUUUCCCGGUGAGGGACAGCGACGUCUGGAUUGUCACCUACCCCAAAUCAGGCACAGGCUUACUACAGGAAGUGGUAUAUCUAGUGAGUCAGGGAGCUGAUCCAGAUGAGAUUGGACUAAUGAAUAUAGAUGAACAACUUCCAGUCCUAGAGUACCCUCAGCCUGGUCUGGACAUCAUUAAGGAACUGACAUCUCCUCGCCUUAUAAAAAGCCACCUACCAUAUCGGUUUUUGCCUUCGGACCUACAUAAUGGUAAUUCAAAGGUAAUAUACAUGGCUCGCAACCCCAAAGACCUGGUGGUGUCUUAUUACCAGUUUCACCGCUCCCUAAGGACCAUGAGCUACAGAGGAACAUUUCAGGAGUUCUGCAGAAGGUUUAUGAAUGACAAGUUAGGAUAUGGUUCGUGGUUUGAACAUGUGCAAGAGUUUUGGGAACAUCACAUGGAUGCCAAUGUACUUUUUCUCAAGUAUGAAGAUAUGCAUAAGGACCUAGCAACAAUGGUCGAGCAACUGGUGAGGUUCUUAGGAGUUUCUUAUGACAAAGCACAGUUGGAAUCCAUGGUGGAACACUGCCAUCAACUCAUUGAUCAGUGCUGUAAUGCAGAAGCACUUCCUGUUGGCAGGGCACAUUGAUCUUUACUCUGAAGAUAACCCUGAGCUGCUGUGAAAGCAGAACAAUGAUUAGAUAUCUUACAUAUAUUUGACUCUUAUCACAUCAUAAUUUACACAGUUGCAUGAUUCAAAUCAUAAACCAGUUGAACAGGCCUGGAUUUUGUCUUUAUCUCCAACAUAAAUGAAAAAAGAUUUGAGCCUCUCAGACUAAUUAUUCACCAACAAGUAACCCUGGCUGACUGAGUUAAACAAGUUUUGAACUGCAGUGAAACAGUGGUUUAAGGGGGCUACAGCCUUGAACUGGACGAGUUGGGCUAUGGAAAGACAUCUUCACUGUUUCAAUGAAUGAGAAAUUUGAUUUGGUUUAUAAACAGAAGAUGGGAAAAUGUGACCUCAUGUUUGAUUUUUAUUUAUAAAAAAUGCAUGCAUAUGAUAUCCAAAUAUAGCUAGAGUGCAUUCAUUUAUUGAUUACUUGCUGGACAAAAUACUGUAGCUAUUAUGUGUGACAAGAUUUAAAGAAAGAAAAACAAUCUAAGUAAACCGUAUCAGAUACAAUUAUCUUUUAUCCUAUGCAGCUGUUUAUCUUCUGGUAUUUUAAUCCUUUGUCCACAUGCAAGAACUUCCUAGACAAUACUAGAAUAUUCAGCUGUUAUGGAAUGUAUUAUAGACGUAUAAGGUAUGUAUCAUAUAUGCAACUAGAAUGUACACCUUUUCAGCCCCACAUUGAUUAUUUAAUGUGUUUUAUAAAAGCUUUUCACUAGAACCUAAAUAAAUGUCCAUAAACCAAAUAAAAAAUCAUUUCAGUGGGAAACGAGUAACAGGCCAAAAUUGUAUGUUAGAAUGAUCUCAGGGGUUAAUUGUCACAUUUAUUUUUAUAGCAGGUAUAUCAAGUAUAAAUAAAUCCCAUUCCAAAAUAGUAACUGAUCAAGGUGGGGUUCACAUUAGGUUCUGCACAUCCUUUUCUCUGUAAUUUGAGUAGGUUCUGUGCACUGGCAUAUUUGGCAAGACAAGCCUUGUUAUGAAAUAUAGCUGUGAUUGUCACAGUAGUCCCAAAACCCACCAGUGCUUUCAUGUAUGACAGCACACAGCUGUCUUCCUGAUGGAUACAGUUCAACUCCAUGCCAAAGGUCAGCAAACAGAAGCUUUUUAAGCCCCUGACUCUAAUUCAGCCCUUCAAAAUGGGGUUUAAAAGGCAUCUGGUGCAGGUUCCAUCUUGAGGAAUCGGAGACUCUGACCCGCGUUGGUUUCCUGUUUAGAUGUGAAUUUCACCCACUAGGUACAGUAAGAGAAGAUAAAGCGGUUGUUAUCCUCUAAUUCCACUUGGUGCUGUUUAUGGUUUGUGCUAGUAGGCUCCACCAGACCUAAGUAGAAGAUGAAUAUACUUUCCAGUGUAAACAGGCAGAAGAACUGGCAGCGCCGAAGGAAUGGAGUUUAAAAAUCUACCACCAGGUGGGAGUAUUGCACAAAUAUUCAUGCAGAAUACAGUUUCAGUAAUUGUUGGCCAUGACUGGUCUGGGUUAUAAUGAGGGUUCAAGUUUAUUUCCGUAUCUUUUUUUAUUCUCUACAACAAGCAACAAACAGCCUGAAGCAGGCUACCAUUAAUAUAAAACUCUCCAGAGUUACUUUAUUAUUCUGCUAGGUAAUGACAUAUAUGCUUUUUAGGCCCGUUUUUGCUAGUCAAAUAUUCAGGCUCACUAAAAGCUGUGAGGAACGACUAGCAGAUUUUUAGUGUUUCAGUUCUGUUGGGAAACAAAUGGUCAGUUCAACGACUGGCAAGUGGUGUAGCAUGAUGUGGCUUUGACAGCACUUUUCCUUGUAUAUUUGUGAGUGAAAAUGCUUUCAGUGAAAUUUUAUUUCUAUUUUUAUAUUUUUAGUACUGUAUGACUAUUAAGCACUACACAUUAUACUUCUGUGCUUGCUUGCUUAUUGAAUAAAAGUUGUG